rnacentral:rRNA from 1 species
GACGAACGCUGGCGGCGUGCUUAACACAUGCAAGUCGAACGGAAAGUCCCUGCUUUUGUGCGGUGCUCGAGUUGCCAACUGGUGACUAACACUUUACUAACCUGCCCUUCACUUUGUGAUAACUUCAUGCAACUGGUGCUAUUACCGGAUAGGAUCUCCUGCUGCAUGGUGGGGGUUGGUUAGUUUCGGCGGUUGGGGAUGUACUCGCCGCCUAUCAGCUUGUUUGUUGGGUAGUGGCUUACCAAGGCUUUGCCAGGUAGCCGGCCUGAGAGGGGAACAGGACACAAUGGGACUGAGAUACGGCACAGACUAGAACGGGAGGCAGGAGAGGGGAAUAGUGCACAAUGGGAGGAAGCCUGAUGCAGCAAAGCCGCGUGCGGGAUGAGGGGAAUGGGGUAGUAAACCGAAUUCGCAUGAGAGGAAGAGUGAGUGACGGUAAUGGGUAAAGAAGCACCGGCUAACUACGUG